UUGUGGCAGCAACGCUUGUGGCAGCAGCAGCCAUAGGGAGGCCAGGCGUGGAGGCGGCACCGGGCUCGGAGCUGGCCAGGGUCCCCUCGCCUAUGGAGCACACAGCCACCACAGGCCCCAGGCCUGGACCUCCCCCUCGGCGGGUGGAGAAUGUUGUGCUACCAGCCAAGGACUGGCUGCCAGGACCUCCUGGGGGCACCGCAGUGUGGGCCACCAGCUCGGAAGCAGAGGUCCCACCAGAUCUAGCGCUCAAUAAGGAGCAGCAGUUGCAGAUCUCCAAGGAGCUGGUCGACAUUCAGAUCACAACCCACCACCUACAGGAGCAGCACGAGGCUGAAAUCUUCCAGCUGAAGAGUGAGAUCCUUUGGCUGGAGAGCCGAGUGCUGGAGCUGGAGCUGCAUGGAGAUCCCACCAGCCAGGGCUGUGCAGUCCCAGUGGAGUCUGACCCCAGGCACCCCCGGGCACCAGCCCAAGAGCUCAGACACAAAGCCCGGGUGCCUGGACACUCUGAUGAUCGCAGAUUCCAGGUGCAGCCCAAGAACGCCGUGAACCCCGAGAACGAGCAGCACAGCCUGGGGAGCGGCGUGAGUGUGCAGCCACCUAGCUCAGGGGAGAGGGCAGCACCAGAGACCCCAAGCCUACGGUCUCAUCCAGCCAGCCCUGUGUGCCCCACAGCUGCUGGGGGGCCAGGAGCAGCUGCAGGGAGAAGUGAAGUGGGCGCUGGAGCGUCAAGAGGCCCGGCAGCAGGCACUGGAGAUGCGUGUGGCAGCCCUGGGCCGGCAGCUGCAGGGAGCCCGAGAGGAGGCCAGGGCAGCCGGGCAGCGACUAGCCACACAGGCUGUGGUGCUGUGCAGCUGCCGAGGCCAGCUCCAUCAGGCAGAGGCCGAGAACGCCCGGCUGCAGCUGCAGCUCAAGAAACUGAAGGACGAGUAUGUCCUGCGGCUGCAGCACUGCGCCCGGGAGGCAGUGGUGAGCCCUGCAGGAGCACCCUGAGGCCUAGGGAGCCCAAACUUGGCCUGGGUGUGCUGGAUAGCUUCAGGGAGACCCCAGGGCUCUGGCACUGCUCAGCCUGCUGGUGUGGGGGGAUGGUUAGAAAAGAU
rnacentral:sRNA from 1 species